AUUGAACGCUGGCGGCAGGCCUAACACAUGCAAGUCGAGCGAGCGGCGGACGGGUGAGUAAUGCCUAGGAAUCUGCCUGGUAGUGGGGGAUAACGUCCGGAAACGGGCGCUAAUACCGCAUACCAUCAGAUGUGCCCAGAUGGGAUUAGCUUGUUGGUGGGGUAACGGCUCACCAAGGCGACGAUCCCUAGCUGGUCUGAGAGGAUGACCAGCCACACUGGAACUGAGACACGGUCCAGACUCCUACGGGAGGCAGCAGUGGGGAAUAUUGCACAAUGGGCGCAAGCCUGAUGCAGCCAUGCCGCGUGUAUGAAGAAGGCCUUCGGGUUGUAAAGUACUUUCAGCGGGGAGGCGUUACCCGCAGAAGAAGCACCGGCUAACUCCGUGCCAGCAGCCGCGGUAAUUC
rnacentral:rRNA from 1 species